UUUGUAUCUAGCUGUCCCCCCACAGCCUCAUGUGGUCAUAGAGUUUUUUUUGGAGGUGGGUGAAUCUAGAGUGUGUAAUUGAUUCGUAGUGCAAUGAUGGGAUUAAGGCUGGGUGAUUGCUAGGUCAGUCCACUGAUUGGACUGGCAUCAUCCUAACCCUGGUAGACUGGACGAAAGAGGUUUGUCUUGCUCUCUCUUGUUGCUUUAACUGUCUUCUGCUGCCAUGAACUUUUCCCCCUCUGCAUGUCCCACCUACCUGGGAGCCAGCAGAUUAUGGACUGAAACCCGCACAAACUGUGAGCUAAAUAAACCUUUCCCCGCUUUAACUUUGGGUGUUGGGUAUUUUGCCUCAACAAUGAGAGAAAUGUAACUAAGACAUUUGUAUAAGGAAAAACCAUGGUGGUGUAUGGCUUUUCAGAGAAAGAACUGUCGUCAUCUUAAUACUGGUCUGCUCUUGUAAGACUGAAAUUUGUGUAAUGGCAGGGGUGGGGAAGAGAUUGAAUAGCUUCAUGCAUGCCAUGUCUCUCUUGUAAAUGUUUUACCUCAUGAUUUCUUGUUCCUCUUGGUUUUUUUCUCCCCUGCCUCUGGGCUUGAAUGCCAAAACUAAUAUUGUUGGUGUUUAAUAACCAAAAGCCAAUAAAACAUUCUUUUUGUACUUGCAGUACCUUCAGGUAUGAUUUGCAAUUCAUCUGUCAAGCCUAUUGCAUACUAAUUCAAAGGAGAAAAAACUCUCAUCCAGUCUGAAUAAAGGAGGGAAAGAACUAGAAGAGACCAGGCCAUGACAGAGCCUCAGAGGUCAGAGCUGGGGAGAAGUUGGAAAACUCAGUCACAGUUUGAUGCCCCAUCGAUGUUUUAUGCAUUGGAACCUGCCUUCCAGUUGCUAUCAGGAUACAGAGACGGUCACAGCGUGGAAGUGGUAGUGAGCAAAAAGGACUCACUUGUGUCACGCUCAGACUACUGGAUUCAAGGAAGUCUCCCAAGGGCGGGUCCUCCAGGAGAUUGCCUGGCAGGAGGAACUUUCACGAAAAACUGUCAAAACCACAGCUGGGCACAAAGGCCACCACAACCUUGCACAAAAAUGCUUCUAGGAAGAUGUCUGCUUAGCAACUGCCUGCUCAACCUUGCGCAGGCACCACCCUCACUGAUCCCUGUAGCCAAGGGUAAUUGUUUCAAAACAACUUACGCAACUCUCCCCAUCUUAACGUUAAACACCCUGGUCCCCCUUUGGCUCUCUGAACAAAACUGAACAUUCACCAGAGUACCCAGAUUCCCAUGGCAAUGCACGGAGUCUCUCUCUUUGCUGUCUAGGUUGACGACACCAAGAUCGACCUCAAAGAACAUCACUGUCCAGUGGGCAAAGCAAUAAAUGCCACUCAGAGUCCUAGCUGCACCAACAGAGUGAGCGGACAAGGUAAACUUGUUCUGAGACAGGACCGCCCAGUACAACCACGGGUAAUCACAGGGGGCUUCCUGGGGUUACGUUGCUGCAGCUAACUCAUUUUGAGGUGCUCACUGGACAGACGAUGAGGCCAAGGACACUCUGGGCAGAAAAGUC
ensembl:lincRNA